rnacentral:rRNA from 1 species
UGGUGGAGUGAUUUGUCUGGUUAAUUCCGAUAACGAACGAGACAUCAGCGGCUAACUAGAACCGUGAAGCGUCUAAUAGGGUAAAGUUUUCCGGAAUCCCUCACGGGUGACCGGUUUAUGGAUCCCUGAUGUCUUUGUCGGGUCUUCUUAUCCGGACUGCGUGGGUUUACCACGCGGAAGCUUGAUGCAAUAACA